AACGAACGCUGGCGGCAGGCUUAACACAUGCAAGUCGAGCGCCCCGCAAGGGGAGCGGCAGACGGGGGAGUAACGCGUGGGAAUCUACCCAUCUCUACGGAAUAACGCAUGGAAACGUGUGCUAAUACCGUAUACGUCCUUCGGGAGAAAGAUUUAUCGGAGAUGGAUGAGCCCGCGUUGGAUUAGCUAGUUGGUGGGGUAAAGGCCUACCAAGGCGACGAUCCAUAGCUGGUCUGAGAGGAUGAUCAGCCACACUGGGACUGAGACACGGCCCAGACUCCUACGGGAGGCAGCAGUGGGGAAUAUUGGACAAUGGGCGCAAGCCUGAUCCAGCCAUGCCGCGUGAGUGAUGAAGGCCCUAGGGUUGUAAAGCUCUUUCACCGGUGAAGAUAAUAACGGUAACCGGAGAAGAAGCCCCGGCUAACUUCGUGCCAGCCGCCGCGGUAAUAC
rnacentral:rRNA from 1 species